CAGAUCGAGGCUUAGUACUUAUAAGGAGCUUGCAUAGAUAUUAACCGGAAUGGAUUAUGAAGAUUAGCCAUGGACAAACAAGGUUAUCCAGCAAAAGCUGCACAUCUUUGGUAUCAGAAAGAGCAUCCUUUGCUCCACACCCAAGGAAGAGGGGAACAUCAUUUGGAAUGUGUGUCAUGUCAUACACUGGUGGUGUAGGCUGUCCAUAGUGUUUCUUGUUUUCAUCUUCAUUGUUGUAGUCAUACAUUGUUAUGGUUCCUUUUUUGAUCACUGUCCAGAAACCAAAAAUUAUGUUUAAAGAACCAUACCUUAAUGACAAGUCAUUCAGAUUAGUAUA